rnacentral:rRNA from 1 species
GACGAACGCUGGCGGCGUGCUUAACACAUGCAAGUCGAACGGAAAGGCCCUGCUUGCCGGGUACUCGAGUGGCGAACGGGUGAGUAACACGUGGGUGAUCUGCCCUGCACUUCGGGAUAAGCCUGGGAAACUGGGUCUAAUACCGGAUAGGAGCCAUUUUUAGUGUGAUGGUUGGAAAGUUUUUUCGGUGUAGGAUGAGCUCGCGGCCUAUCAGCUUGUUGGUGGGGUAAUGGCCUACCAAGGCGGCGACGGGUAGCCGGCCUGAGAGGGUGGACGGCCACAUUGGGACUGAGAUACGGCCCAGACUCCUACGGGAGGCAGCAGUGGGGAAUAUUGCACAAUGGGCGCAAGCCUGAUGCGGCGACGCCGCGUGGGGGAUGACGGCCUUCGGGUUGUAAACUCCUUUCGCUAGGGACGAAGCUUUUUGUGACGGUACCUAGAUAAGAAGCACCGGCUAACUACGUG